rnacentral:rRNA from 1 species
GACGAACGCUGGCGGCGUGCCUAAUACAUGCAAGUCGAGCGCAGGAAACUGACGGAACUCUUCGGAGGGAAGACAGUGGAAUGAGCGGCGGACGGGUGAGUAACACGUAAGGAACCUGCCUCAAGGAUUGGGAUAACUCCGAGAAAUCGGAGCUAAUACCGGAUAGUUCAACGGACCGCAUGGUCCGCUGAAGAAAGGCGCGCCGGCGUCACCUUGAGAUGGCCUUGCGGUGCAUUAGCUAGUUGGUGGGGUAAUGGCCCACCAAGGCGACGAUGCAUAGCCGACCUGAGAGGGUGAUCGGCCACACUGGGACUGAGACACGGCCCAGACUCCUACGGGAGGCAGCAGUAGGGAAUCUUCCACAAUGGACGAAAGUCUGAUGGAGCAACGCCGCGUGAGUGAUGAAGGUUUUCGGAUCGUAAAACUCUGUUGUAAGGGAAGAACACGUACGAGAGGGAAUGCUCGUACCUUGACGGUACCUUACGAGAAAGCCACGGCUAACUACGUGCCAGCAGCCGCCGUAAAAC